rnacentral:rRNA from 1 species
UGAGGAAUAUUGGUCAAUGGACGAGAGUCUGAACCAGCCAAGUCGCGUGAAGGAUGAAGGUCUUAUGGAUUGUAAACUUCUUUUAUACGGGAAUAAAAAGAGCCACGUGUGGCUUAUUGCAUGUACCGUAUGAAUAAGGAUCGGCUAACUCCGUGCCAGCAGCCGCGGUAAUACGGAGGAUCCGAGCGUUAUCCGGAUUUAUUGGGUUUAAAGGGUGCGUAGGCGGUCAUUUAAGUCAGCGUUGAAAGUUUUCGGCUCAACCGGAAAAUUGGCAUUGAAACUGGGUGACUUGAGUGUAAAUGAAGUGGGCGGAAUUCGUUGUGUAGCGGUGAAAUGCAUAGAUAUAACGAAGAACUCCGAUUGCGAAGGCAGCUCACUAACAUACAACUGACGCUGAGGCACGAAAGCGUGGGGAUCAAACA